rnacentral:lncRNA from 1 species
CUUUACAAGGAAUUGCUUUAUCCUCAUUAGGAUCAUAGUCAAAUAAGGCUCUGAUAAACAUCUUGCCUUCCUUUGAUGGUGUUUCUUCCUUUACACUGGGUAUGAUUUUAAAUGUAAUUGCUCCUUGAGACUGAGCCAAUAUGUGUAUUAUUUCUUCAGGUUUUUUAUCAUCUACAGGAAUCCCAUUGACUUCCCUCAGUUCAUCACCAACGUGAAUAAGACCACUUCUAUCUGCAGCUCCUCCACGCAUUAUCCUUGCCACCACAAUUGCACCGGUAUGUUCA